UUUGGUUAAGUUAGAAAGGGCGCACGGUGGAUGCCUUGACACUAGGAGUCGAUGAAGGACGGGACUAACGCCGAUAUGCUUCGGGGAGCUGUAAGUAAGCUUUGAUCCGAAGAUUUCCGAAUGGGGAAACCCACCAUACGUAAUGGUAUGGUAUCCUUAUCUGAAUACAUAGGGUAAGGAAGACAGACCCAGGGAACUGAAACAUCUAAGUACCUGGAGGAAGAGAAAGCAAAUGCGAUUUCCUGAGUAGCGGCGAGCGAAACGGAACAUAGCCCAAACCAAGAGGCUUGCCUCUUGGGGUUGUAGGACAUUCUAUACGGAGUUACAAAGGAACGAGGUAGACGAAGCGACCUGGAAAGGUCCGUCGUAGAGGGUAACAACCCCGUAGUCGAAACUUCGUUCUCUCUUGAAUGUAUCCUGAGUACGGCGGAACACGUGAAA
rnacentral:rRNA from 1 species